UACAGAGGUGGCAAGCGUUGUUCGGAAUUACUGGGCGUAAAGGGCGAGUAGGCGGCCUUCUAAGUCAGACGUGAAAUCCCCGGGCUCAACCCGGGAACUGCGUCCGAUACUGGAAGGCUUGAAUCCGGGAGAGGGAUGCGGAAUUCCAGGUGUAGCGGUGAAAUGCGUAGAUAUCUGGAGGAACACCGGUGGCGAAGGCGGCAUCCUGGACCGGCAUUGACGCUGAGGCGCGAAAGCCAGGGGAGCAAACGGG
rnacentral:rRNA from 1 species